rnacentral:ncRNA from 1 species
AUUAAAUUUAAUUGUGGUUUUUUAUUUAUAUAAAUUUUUAUAGUAUAUAUGAAUUUUAUAGUAAAUUAAUUUAUUAGUAGUAUAUAAUUUUAAAUAUAAAAGAAAUUUUGAUUUAGUAAUAAAUUAAAUUUAGACUAUAUUUGUGCCAGCAGUUGCGGUUAUACAAAUUAAAUAAUAUAAAUUUUUUAAUUUUAAUAAAUUGGUUUUAAAUGAUGUAAUAAGUAAUUUUUUAGGUGAAAUUUAGAAUUAUUUAAUUAUAUCUUUUUUUUUGAGAUGAUUUAAUAAAUUUUGUGUAAAACUAGGAUUAGAUACCCUAUUAUUUUUAUAGUGAAUUUUAAUUAAAUAAGUAGUAGUUAUGUUCUUGAAAGUUAAAUAAUUUGGCGGUAUUUUAGUCUUUUUAGAGGAACCUGUUCUGUAAGUGAUAACCCACGGUUAAAGUGACUUUAUUUAGAAAUUUACAUAUCGUCGUUAUUAAUAUUUUUAUAGGAUUAAAUGUUAAAAAUUUUAAAUUUAAAAAUGAAUCAGAUCAAGAUGUAAUUUAUAUUAAAGAAGAAAUGGGUUACAAUAAAAAAAUUUUUGGAAAAUAAAUUUUAAAUUUAUUUGAAAUUGGAUUUAAAAGUAAUUUAAUUUAUAUUUUUUAAAUGGUUAAGCUCUAAAAUAUGCACAUAUUGCCCGUCGCUUUCAUAAAAAAUGAAAUAAGUCGUAACAAAGUAGAUUUACUGGAAAGUGAUUCUAGAGGCAU